rnacentral:rRNA from 1 species
AUUGAACGCUGGCGGCAGGCUUAACACAUGCAAGUCGAGCGAGCGGCGGACGGGUGAGUAAUGUCUGGGAAACUGCCUGUUGGAGGGGGAUAACUACUGGAAACGGUAGCUAAUACCGCAUACCAUCAGAUGUGCCCAGAUGGGUUUAGCGAGUAGGUGGGGUAAUGGCUCACCUGGGCGACGAUCCCUAGCUGGUCUGAGAGGCUGACCGGCCACACUGGAACUGAGAAACGGUCCAGACUCCUCCGGGAGGCGGAAGGGGGGAAUAUUGCACAAGGGGGGCAGGCCUGAUGCAGCACUGCCGCGUGUGGGAAGAAGGCUUUCGGGUUUUAAGGUACUUUAAGCGAGGCGGCGUUACCGGCAGAAGAAGCAACGGCUAACUCCGUGCCAGCAGCCGCGGUAAUAC